rnacentral:rRNA from 1 species
ACCGGCGCACGGGUGAGUAACGCGUAUGCAACCUACCUUAUACAGGGGAAUAGCCCGAAGAAAUUCGGAUUAAUGCUCCAUGGUUUAUCGAUAUGGCAUCGUAUUGAUAAUAAAGAUUUAUCGGUAUAAGAUGGGCAUGCGUAUCAUUAGCUAGUUGGUGUGGUAACGGCAUACCAAGGCAACGAUGAUUAGGGGUCCUGAGAGGGAGAUCCCCCACACUGGUACUGAGACACGGACCAGACUCCUACGGGAGGCAGCAGUGAGGAAUAUUGGUCAAUGGAGGCAACUCUGAACCAGCCAUGCCGCGUGCAGGAUGACGGUCCUAUGGAUUGUAAACUGCUUUUGUACAGGAAGAAACCUCCCUACGAGUAGGGACUUGACGGUACUGUAAGAAUAAGGAUCGGCUAACUCCGUGCCAGCAGCCGCGGUAAUACGGAGGAUCCGAGCGUUAUCCGGAAUUAUUGGGUUUAAAGGGUUCGUAGGCGGCUUUGUAAGUCAGUGGUGAAAUUUCCUAGCUUAACUAGGACACUGCCAUUGAUACUGCAUAACUUGAAUAGUAUGGAAGUAACUAGAAUAUGUAGUGUAGCGGUGAAAUGCUUAGAUAUUACAUGGAAUACCAAUUGCGAAGGCAGGUUACUACGUAUUUAUUGACGCUGAUGAACGAAAGCGUGGGGAGCGAACAGGAUUAGAUACCCUGGUAGUCCACGCCGUAAACGAUGGAUACUAGCUGUUCGGUUUUCGGACUGAGUGGCUAAGCGAAAGUGAUAAGUAUCCCACCUGGGGAGUACGUUCGCAAGAAUGAAACUCAAAGGAAUUGACGGGGGCCCGCACAAGCGGUGGAGCAUGUGGUUUAAUUCGAUGAUACGCGAGGAACCUUACCAGGGCUUAAAUGUAGAUUGACAGAUUUGGAAACAGAUUUUUCUUCGGACAAUUUACAAGGUGCUGCAUGGUUGUCGUCAGCUCGUGCCGUGAGGUGUCAGGUUAAGUCCUAUAACGAGCGCAACCCCUAUUGUUAGUUACCAGCGCGUAGUGGCGGGGACUCUAGCAAGACUGCCGGUGCAAACCGUGAGGAAGGUGGGGAUGACGUCAAAUCAUCACGGCCCUUACGUCCUGGGCUACACACGUGCUACAAUGGCAAGUACAGAAAGCAGCUACCUGGCAACAGGAUGCGAAUCUCCAAAGCUUGUCUCAGUUCGGAUUGGAGUCUGCAACUCGACUCUAUGAAGCUGGAAUCGCUAGUAAUCGGAUAUCAGCCAUGAUCCGGUGAAUACGUUCCCGGGCCUUGUACACACCGCCCGUCAAGCCAUGGAAGCUGGGGGUACCUGAAGUCGGUGACCGCAAG